AAGUCGUAACAAGGUUUCCGUAGGUGAACCUGCGGAAGGAUCAUUAACACGUAUCCAACGUUAAACCGCUCUUGCAGCCCGUCUUCCUCCAGCAAUCCCUAGUAAAUCAUGGCGAACAGUUUGAUUUAGGGACUUCUGAGUCACGAGAAAUUACAGUUGCAAUUGUAGCGGUAGUGCAAGCAAUCUCAGCUUCUCCUGGGUCCUUUGGUGAAUUGAAAAGUGUCAUCAGAGAUCGCCGACGAGAAGGCCCUACGGCUUCACUGGAGGACAUCACGUCCGGUGACUAGAUGCUCGGGUCCCCAUGCCCCCUUACAACCCCAUGUCUCGCAGCCGGGUCGCGAUAAUACGCUUGACUGUUAACAAUGGAUAUCUUGGUUCUC
rnacentral:misc_RNA from 1 species